GUGACGAGGACUCAAUGUGCAAGAGGGAGAGUGGCGGGGAGAUGAGGUGGAGGGGUGGUCGGCGGUCAGAUCGUGGAGGGUCUCGGAGGAGGGUCCUGACCCUGGGUCUCCAGUCCUGGGAAGUGGAGCCCAGGCUGUACCAUGGCUGACCUCAGCUCAUGGCUUCCCCUCCCACUUCCAGCCUACAGGGAGCCCUUCGAGCAGCACCUCCUGCUGGGCGUCAGCGUUUUCUGCAUUGUCAUCCUGGUCGUCUGCCUGUUGUGCUAUGUCAGCAUCACCAAGAUUAAGAAAGAAUGGUGGGAUCAGAUUCCCAACCCAGCCCGCAGCCGCCUCGUGGCUAUAAUAAUCCAGGAUGCUCAGGUAGGAGUAGGCGUGGAUGAGGAUACGUGGGACUGUGUACAUGAAGAAGUGUGGUUCAGAACACCUGGGCUGUUAAGGACCGUCACUGGCUUCUGGAAUGGCAAAUAGACAGUCAGGAGGGUUGCAGGGGAGACAGAGGCAGAAGCCGAAUGAGGUCAUUAGCAGACCAGAGGCUUUCCCGCCCUUCCCCUUGGCAAUCCCAGCCUGGGGUGGGCUUCUCUGGGGUUGGUUUCCUGUUUUUUUCCCUCCCCUUGGGAGAAUGACCCUUGGGUCAUCAUCACUGUGUCAUUCCCUGGGGAGGUGCCAGUACCAGGGCUAGAGGCCAGAAGGAGAGGAGGAAGGAGAGGGUGACAGGCUUUCUGUGUCUUCUUCUUAAGCAUAGGAAACUGCCCCCGAAGCACCAGCAAAUCUCUUCCGGGUUCUCACUGGCCUGAAAUGUAUCCCACCCCUAAGCCAGGGGUGGAGUCAGCUUCCCCAAGGCGAUGGUCCUGUGGGUGAGUGGGUGGGGUUUGCCUGAGCAAGAUGAGAGUUCUCUAGGAAGGAGAAAGGGGGAUUAUAGGUCCUGUCUAGAAGAGAAGGUCUGAGGGUCCUUGCUUUUCCAGGGACUCUGGAAUCUAGUGGUGUUGGCUUUGAAUCCUGACUCUGCCACUCACUGGCAGUGUGGACUUGAGCAAGUUGCUUAAUUCUCUGAGCCUCAGUUUCCUCUUGUGGGUUAUAACACUGUUUACCUGGUAGGGCAGAUAUUGGAAUUUAUUGAGACAAUACAUAUAAAGUGCAUAUUCCAGCCUCUUGCAAAUACCAAGUGCCG
rnacentral:lncRNA from 1 species